UCCGGAGCUAACGCGUUAAGUCGACCGCCUGGGGAGUACGGCCGCAAGGUUAAAACUCAAAUGAAUUGACGGGGGCCCGCACAAGCGGUGGAGCAUGUGGUUUAAUUCGAUGCAACGCGAAGAACCUUACCUGGUCUUGACAUCCACAGAACUUUCCAGAGAUGGAUUGGUGCCUUCGGGAACUGUGAGACAGGUGCUGCAUGGCUGUCGUCAGCUCGUGUUGUGAAAUGUUGGGUUAAGUCCCGCAACGAGCGCAACCCUUAUCCUUUGUUGCCAGCGGUCCGGCCGGGAACUCAAAGGAGACUGCCAGUGAUAAACUGGAGGAAGGUGGGGAUGACGUCAAGUCAUCAUGGCCCUUACGACCAGGGCUACACACGUGCUACAAUGGCGCAUACAAAGAGAAGCGACCUCGCGAGAGCAAGCGGACCUCAUAAAGUGCGUCGUAGUCCGGAUUGGAGUCUGCAACUCGACUCCAUGAAGUCGGAAUCGCUAGUAAUCGUGGAUCAGAAUGCCACGGUGAAUACGUUCCCGGGCCUUGUACACACCGCCCGUCACACCAUGGGAGUGGGUUGCAAAAGAAGUAGGUAGCUUAACCUUCGGGAGGGCGCUUACCACUUUGUGAUUCAUGACUGGGGUGAAGUCGUAACAAGGUAACCGUAGGGGAACCUGCGGUUGGAUCACCUCCUUACCUUAAAGAAGC
rnacentral:rRNA from 1 species